UUCAAUUCCACCUGUUUAAAACUACGAUCUCCGGUAAUUAUACAUUCAAAAGUACUGAAGCUAUAAAAACCCAGAUCUCGGCCCCCGCUUUGGAGGAGCAGACGGGAGUCCCAGCAUGCGAGCCGAGCCGUGCACGGACGGCAUCAGUUUUAUAGCCUCUCUCCAAGACAGCACCAGACUCCUUUGACAAAAACAGUCAUUUUACGUCGCAGAACAAGAGGGUUGCUGGUCUAUCGCUGCCUCGACCCGCAGCAACUAACUAACCGAUCGAGACAGCGGCGGACCAGCAACUCCCGUUUUCUGCGACGUAAAAUGACUGUUUUUGUCAGUGUGGUCUGGUGGCUUUGGAAAGCGCUGUCUGACGGCAAGGGGAAAAUAUUCUAAAUACAGCGUGCACUUAAACUGACACUGACGUCUUUAGGUGGCUAAAAUACGUGUUGUUGCUGCCCAGCUCCGCAGCAGCGCACAGCUUAGCUCACGCGCUGCUGCCGCCGCCUGCUUCUCCACUGUCGGCCUCACACAGGGGAAACCCGCGGACACCGCGGUGCAGUGUGGGAAACAAAGACAUAAUAACGACACGGAGAAUGUGGAGGCCUACAAGUGUGUCUGGUGUACCUGCAGGCUGUGGAAGGCCUGUCGCAGGUUGCGUACACGGCUCCUCUCCCGUGCUGCGUUUUCUGGGGAGUGCUGACCCCUCAGUGUCCUGGACUGGACCGCAGACCCACAACCAGAACCAGAGUGUGACCUGGACCCACACACAGACUGCACCUGCAGCAGAGGACAUGUUAAGAGCCUGACAUUUCAAUAGCAAACCGUUAUUCAAGAACCUUUACACAGUUUCUUGCAGGCUCGCUGCACUUUGAGUCUGUAGAGACAUUGGAAUCCAGUGAUACAGAACAUUUGGGAGCAUCAUUAAAUGAACGAUUGAUUUUACACUGUACCUAUAUAAAAAAUAUCCUGAAACUUACUUUAUGUGUAAAAUUCAUCAUAUUCUGUUAAUUGGUUCAUUCAUCAUUCUAAAAUGCAACUUCCUUUUGCAGUGUGUAUUAUUUGCAUACAGUAAAGAAAGGUGCAAUGUGAAAAUCUGUCAUUUUCUACUCAAGAUCAUCAGUUACUGUUUCAUUAUUGGUACUUUGAUUUGAGUCUGUUCUGCCCUCAGGACAGAAUCAGUCAUUUACCAGUACUACUUUUAUGGCACUGAGAAGAUUUUUGAAAUUAUGUCAAAAAUGAUAAGGAAAUAGAUAAUUGUGCUUCUAGCUAUUAUAUGCUUUAGUGCUCAGAAAUAAUGCAUGCUCUGUGAGAUUACUAGAGAAUAAACUGACUGACUGACA